GCUGGGCGUGGUGGCACGUGCCUGUAGUCCCAGCUAUUCGGGAGGCUGAGGCUGGAGGAUCUCUUGAGUCCAGGCGUUCUGGGCUGUAGUGGGCUACGCCGAUUGGGUGUCCGCACUAAGUUCGGCAUCAAUAUGGUGACCUCCCGGGAGCGGAGGACCACCAGGUUGCCUAAGGAGGGGUGAACUGGCCCAGGUCAGAAACGGAGCAGGUCAAAACUCCCAUGCUGAUCAGUAGUGGGAUUGCGCCUGUGAAUAGCCACUGCACUCCAGCCUGGGCAACAUAGUGAGAUCCCGUUUCU
rnacentral:SRP_RNA from 1 species